GUGCUCGCUUCAGCAGUACACGUUCUCAAAUUGGAAUGACACAGAGAAGAUUAGCAAGGCCAUUGUGCUAAGAUGACACGCAGAUUCAUAAAAUGUUCCAUAUUUAA
ensembl:snRNA LOC120102587 U6 spliceosomal RNA